GCUACCUCGUCACCGAGAAAUCGCUCUGCGGCUGCACCCCACACCUUCACCACCCGAAACCUGCAACUCGCCCCCCACCUGCUUUCCUUCAAGGGCUCCUGCCCACUGUACCAUGACUGCCUGACCAGACGGUACCGAUCGCCCCCUCGUCAAAAAUGCACCCGGAGCCUAACUUUUAAACGCUCCCCUCCAGCGCCACCCCGGCCUUAUUUCCCCCUUAGGCCGACCGCGUCCCGGCUCCAAGCCUUCGGUCGCCGGCUUGCAGAGAGGGCUUUGCGGAGGCCGUGCAGCCCGCGCCCCCCGGCCCGGGCCUGCGGAGGGGCUGGAGACAAAGAGGCAGGGGCACCGCCGCGGCCUCCAGGACCGUCCCCUCGGGGACAGCUCCGCGCCCCCCACCCUCCUACCCCAGUUCCGCUCGCGCGCCGCCACAGCCUAGCCUCACCGGUGGUUCUGGGGCCCGGGCUCCUCGCGCCCGCCGCCGCAGCCGCCAGACGAACAAUGGAGAAGGCGCGGGCGUCCGAGGCUCGGCCCUCUGCGGCUCGCUGGCCCUGCGGGCUGCAGGCGGACUGACUGACUGACUACUAACCCGCCGGCCGGAGGGAGGGAACGAGCGAACGAGCAAAGGGAGCGAGCGGGCGGCCCCGGCGCGCGCCCUCCCGCCUUCCCUCCGCGAGGCGAGGGCUGGCCCGGCCCGCAGCCAGCCCGCCCCGCGAGCCCCUCCCCUCUGUUCGCCACAACAUUGUAGUAAAUUUCUAUUGGACGGCGCCGGAGGGAAGGAGGGGGCCGGGCCCGCGGCCCGCCAGCCCAUUGGCUAAGGCCGAGUUCUCGCUCCUCACGUUUUCCCCCGCCCUUCCCUAGGCCGGUAAAGAGAGGGGAGCGGAAGGGAAAAGAAGGGGAAAAGGCCAGGGGCUAGCCGCGUGUGCGCAAGCGCAGGUCGAACCGGCUCUCAGGUCCUUAAGUUCCCAGGGGCCCCGCGCUACCCGUGGGGAACAGAGUAGCUAAUGCCCGAGACGAAGGUGACGCCCUUUCCCGCUCCUCUCCCCACCCCUUUACCCCCCAGGAGGGCCAGAUAAGGGUCUGAGAUUUGGAAGUUGCUCCCAAGCUAACCACGCUCGCUGGCUGUCCCCCAAAUGCACCUACUGACCUUGGAUAAGUCAUUCAGUUUUUCCGGGCCUCGGUUUCCCCACCUACUAACUUGACAUCUCUAGGCGCCAUUCGAACCCUGACAAUCGAUGAGACUUUACCUCUCCUGGUAGCUGUGUUAAGACCUGAAAUGGAUGCUGAGUGUUGCGGCCACGCCAAGAUUUUAGCUGUCUUCUGCAUUUACGGGUCUCCUAAUUUUGCUGCGGCACCCUCAAAAUCGUGAGAACUUAGCUUCAGAAAUCUGGUCUCCAGCUGAGCUUAGAAUAGCUCUCACAAUUGCCUGAUGUGCCCGUUAUUUCCUUUCAUUAGCUUCAGAGGCCACUUGAACCUUCCACACUCCCUACCAGGCUGGUGUCUAAACCAGCGAGCAGAAAGAAGGCUCGGUUUUAAGCAUGGUAAGAGGUAAGAGAGUUCUGGUAUUCCCAUUUUAGAGAUGAAGAAACCCAAGCAGAGAGGCUUAGACCUGCCAGGAUAAGAAGCCAGGCAAUCUGACAUGGGAGCCUGUAUAUGCCAGCUAGGCUGUCUCCUUGUAUCUAAUCCUAGACCCCUCACAACUCAGCUUGGCCUCUAGAAACAGACUGCUGCUAAGUCGCUUCAGUCGUGUCCGACUCUGUGCGACCCCAUAGACGGCAGCCCACCAGGCUCCCCCAUCCCUGGGAUUCUCCAGGCAAGAACACUGGAGUGGGUUGCCAUUUCCUUCUCCAAUGCCUGAAAGUGAAAAGUGAAAGUGAAGUCGCUCAGUCGUGUCCGACUCUUAGCCACCCCAUGGACUGCAGCCUACUAGGCUCCUCCAUCCAUGGGAUUUUCCAGGCAAGAGUACUGGAGUGGGGUGCCAUUGCCUUCUCAAGAAACAGACUACUUGAGUUCAAUUCUCAGUCUCCCUGAUUGUUUGGCCUACUCUGUGCUUGUUCCCAACCCAUAAAAGGGGAUAGUAACAAACUCCUACCUACCUCAUAAGAGUUACUGUAAAAAUUAAAUGAGUUAAAAUAUGUAAAUGGCUUAGCUCACAGUAAGAUCUACCUAAGUGUUAAUUAUUCCUGCUAUUUGGAGACUAAAAUAUGGACUGAGAGGCGUGGGGCUCGCUGACAUAACAAUAAUAUAUUUGGUAAGCACUAAAUUGUCAGCACUGAGCUGAGCACUUUACAUGGUUAUCUGUUUGAAACAUCCUAAGAGACCCUUUAGGAUCACCUGAUUACCCUAUCUAAAACAGCCUCCACUAACACACCCUUAUUGGAGAAAGAAAUGGCAACCCACUCCAGUAUUCUUGCCUGGAGAAUCUCAGGGACAGAGGAGCCUGGUGGGCUGCCAUCUGUGGGGUCGCACAGAGUCAGACACGACUGAUGUGACUUAGUAGCAGCAGUAGCACACCCUUGCCAUGCUUUAAUUUUGCUUCAUGGCACUUCUACCUGACUUUCUACUGUAUACUUAUCUGUUUGUCCCUCUCAAUAAAUUGCUGCAGUUUAGACUCACUAGAUCACAAGCUCUGGGAGGGCAGGGACUUUGUCUUUUUGUUCAUCCCCCAGAACAGUGCAUACUCAAUAAAUAUUUGCUGAAUGAGUGAGUGAGUUAUCCCCAUGUUAUAUAAAAGGAAGCUGAGACUUAGGUGGCUUGGCCAAGGUCAUUCUGUGUAGUAGGGUGAAGCACCUGUGCUUGAAUAUUCUGGUCCCCUGCCUCAGGUCCUCAGGUUCAGGGAGCUCUAGCUCUACCACCUAUGUGCCUCAGAGGUCCCCUUCACCUGUCAGACCUGGAAAUCUGGUGCCAUGAAGGAUAAAUCCUGAAGAUCAAUCACAAGACAGCUCACCACUACCAUCCCCGUGUUAUCCAGCAAAUACAGAUUCAUGAAAACCAAUAUUCUCUAUGCCAUGAACUGCUAGGCAAGGAUAAUAGUUUCUGUUUAAAGAGGCUUGGUUGGAGUGGGUAAUAUUUAAUAAUCAUCACCCUGAAAAAAAAAAGUGGGGUUCUCAGACUAGAAGAAAACAGCCGAACAUAAGGCAGAUGUAAACCACUCAAAUUUAGACUGCCGUGUGACACCACAUCAAAAACUGUUGGCGCAGGCUUUAGAAUCUUAAAAUAUUUAAAUCCAGUCCUGGCUUUUAAUUCUUAGACUGGAGAUGAAAGGGCUUUGGAAACUGUAAAGUACUAUCCACACAUGAGGGAUUUUUGUUAAUUAGUUAGGUAUACACCAUAGCUUGUUAGGCUAAGUGCCAGAUCCUUGGGCAUAACUGGGCCUAACACAUAGUAGAGAAUGAGAAGAAAAAUCAUGCCCAAUCAAAGGCAGAGAAACUACUCUAACUCCUGUGCCCAUCUGCCCUCUCAGGAGAGGCCUCUGCAAACCAGACAUCUGGUCCCAGCUCACCCCACAGAGGCUGCCUUUGAGUACAGGGUAAAAGGUCCCAAGCACCAUCUCUGAAGCUAAUUUCCUUGGAAGAAACUCAGCUCCCUCCCUCCCUCCCUGUCCUAUGCUCACGCCUGGGUGGCGGCUGUGCCACGCUCCAAGCCCCAAGACGGGGUCUCUAGCGGCCAUCUCUAUGCCGCCUGCCAGCUGAGCCCGUUGCUGCCUCCCCCACCAUCCCUCCUGUUUCAGGCCCUGCAAGCCGCCUCUCAGCCCCUGAGCGGUCAAGGGCACUAAGGGGAAAAAGAAAAAAGACGGCAUGAAAGGGUCCUAAUCCUUCCCCAUUACAAACUGAGCUCCAGCAAAAAAGCAACACCAGCUGCACAGAAGAGGGUGAAAUUAAAUGGUGAAAUUAGGUGGUGACCACUGAGGAAGGCCAGGGAGGGGAGAUGGGGCCUCCGAUGACCUGGAAGAGAUGAGAUUGGAAGAAAGCAGGGGUAGGUGGGGGAACAGUUGGAGACUGAACCAUUCCCAAAUCUGGGACGUGGGUGGAUUAGGGACACAGCUGGCCUGAAGCCCCAGUGAUAGGGCUCAUGGAAAGCAUUUGUUGGUUAUGGGGGUAGCAAGAGAUGAAGAAGGCUUUGAAAAGCUGGGCCCACCAGCAAAGUGUUCUGAACAGUCACUACUGAAUAAAACAGCCGAACAUAAGGCAGAUGUAAACCACUCAAAUUUAGACUGCCGUGUGACACCACAUCAAAACUGUUGGCGCAGGCUUUAGAAUCUUAAAAUAUUUAAAUCCAGUCCUGGCUUUUAAUUCUUAGACUGGAGAUGAAAGGGCUUUGGAAACUGUAAAGUACUAUCCACACAUGAGGGAUUUUUGUUAAUUAGUUAGGUAUACACCAUAGCUUGUUAGGCUAAGUGCCAGAUCCUUGGGCAUAACUGGGCCUAACACAUAGUAGAGAAUGAGAAGAAAAAUCAUGCCCAAUCAAAGGCAGAGAAACUACUCUAACUCCUGUGCCCAUCUGCCCUCUCAGGAGAGGCCUCUGCAAACCAGACAUCUGGUCCCAGCUCACCCCACAGAGGCUGCCUUUGAGUACAGGGUAAAAGGUCCCAAGCACCAUCUCUGAAGCUAAUUUCCUUGGAAGAAACUCAGCUCCCUCCCUCCCUCCCUGUCCUAUGCUCACGCCUGGGUGGCGGCUGUGCCACGCUCCAAGCCCCAAGACGGGGUCUCUAGCGGCCAUCUCUAUGCCGCCUGCCAGCUGAGCCGUUGCCUCCCCACCAUCCCUCCUGUUUCAGGCCCUGCAAGCCGCCUCUCA
ensembl:lncRNA